GCCUUUUUUCCCCUCUUGAGUACACAUCUCUCCUAAAUCAUUGUUUUCAUCUUAUAGGUUUGCAAAUGAUACAGGCAAUUACCUCUAUGAACUUGUAAUAUAUAUAGCAGACAAAUACAGAUGCUGCUGUUGAAAUGGUGGAGAAUUUACUUUAUUUUUCUUAGAUUAAGGAGCAAUAUUUUUCACAAACAGUUCUAAGUCUAAGGAAAUAACUGAUUGUUACAGGGCUUUACCCGUUUCCUUUACUGACAGAAGACAGAGGUGGUAGUCUUGCAGAAGAGAACAGAUGAGUUCAGCCAUCAGAUGGACGUCCCUGAAGAAUAUUUUGACUUUUUCACAGGAAACCUUGCUCUGGUCAGCAUUCAUUGACUCUUGGUGGAGCGGCUGUGUGUUGAUGGAUUCCUUUGAAUUGAAGGUACAGCCAGAGCCAACAUCUUCCUUCCUUUUGAAAGAGGAUUUUUUGUAGGAUUUCUUUAUCAAAUUGAGGAGCUUCUGUGCUAAGGGACUCUUAAAAGUAAUUCACCUUUUAUUGGUACACAUAUGGAAGUCUUGAAACAGCUAUGACUUUAUUCAUAUUUUGUUCUUGUAAAGGUAUGAAGAAAGACCAUUUUUCUCCCUAUGUAAGUGGAGAUUGAGUGGAGGAAGAAGGACUAGCUUCAGGAUCUGAGUUACUAGAUGCUAAUUCUUAGAAUUAAGAAGUCCUUUACAAAUAAAUAGCUGCAGUCUCACUUCUCCAAGGGUUUUAUUCUGCUUAAUAUAUGAGAUAUUUAGAUCUAAAAAUUGUAGCUCCCAUGAUGUUGAAUUGCCACGUUUCAGUCAUAUCCUUCCCAAUGAAUAUAAAAUGCCACCCUUUAUUUAAACAUGGAAGUGCAAUUUGGCAGCAAUGUACAUGCUGUUAUUGAUUGUAGAGGUUGCAGAGUCAUGCAGGACUCAUAUCUGUAAUUUUUUAGGGGACCACUCUUUAUUCUGCUGUGGGCAUUGAAGCAGCUGAAACUUCUUUGGAUUCUCUAUAUGGCAGUAUUUAUUGCUUUACUGUUCAGCAUCUGUUUUUCAUGCAACAUAUCCCUGUGUCUGCAGGGAAAAAUCUGUAUUAAAACUUCAAAUAUAACUUUCUGGCUAAAGUUACAUAAAGUCUUGGAUUUAGAGUUCCUCGACUAUGUAUAUACAAACAGCAUCAGCCUAUGAAACUUUUAAUAUCUAUUGUAUAUUUUUAUUUUACUAACCACUAUAAACACCAACAUGAUUAAAAUAUUUUAACCAAUUUCUGAACACCACUAGAAUCACUGUUGGAAUUAAGGACUCUUUGCUUGUGUUGAACCUUUCAACAUGACACUAGAAACAAUAGUUUCAAAUUCUCACAGGCUUUUAAAAGUUUCUCCCUUUUUUAUUCCUUCCUCAUAUGAAAGAGAUACCUUUUGAAGACUCAUGCUUUCCAGGAAAUUAGUAUUCUUCACAUCUUCCUGCCACUGUCUAAAAACCGUGCAACUCUUCAUCUUAGAAAGCCAUUGUAGACUAUUAAUUUUAGCUGAUUAUUAAAAAAGCACAAAAUUUUAAGGCCAUCAUUGUGCUUUUGCAAUGACUUCUCCUCAUGCAGCCAGGAUCAUGGAGAUGGAGAACAUCCCUACCAGACCUACACAGACUGAUAACACAAAGGAUCAUGCUACUCUCUUCAUUAUGUCUGUUUUCCCUGGAUACUAAUAAAAAAAUACCAAUUACCACACAAAGAUGCCUCAUUCACCAUCUGAACGACCUAUUAGAUGAUAUCUAAGUGCUUUUUGAUAAGGUUGUGAGUAUUGAGACAGCCUCCAGAAGGUAACAGUACUUCUUAACUUAUAAGACUAUCAUUAACUACACGUAUGUGGCCUUCUUUGUCUAUAUAUAUAUAUAUAUCAGAAUAGUUACAAAAUGUAUCUGAUGUUGGAGAAGCUCUUUUUCUCCUCUAAACUGACCACAAACAAUAAACACUGGUCACUGAGUUACCUGUUCAGUGGUGCAGCCCUGGCUGGCUGGCCUUACUGCUUAAGCUGAGAAAAAGAUACCAAACAUGUCUUGGAUGGACAUGGACAUUGCAUGUUAGCGGGCUUCAUUUUGUCAUACCAUGUGGACACAAUGAUUGUAUUUGUCAUGCUAAGAAAGAGGGAAUACUGUCUGUGCCUUGAAAGGGAAUGCAAAUAGCUGGAUCAAAGCAUUCACUCUUGACAACUCAUCUGCAGACCCUCAGUUUGGCCAUAUGAUUACCUAAAAAUAUGUUCUUGGUAGGGCCACAUAAGAGAAGCAUAGACCUCAAAAUGUGGGCUAGGCUGGUACACUCUGUUGGCAGAACUGGCAUUUCCCUUCAGACUCAGAGGCUCCAGCUGUGAUACAUUUAGAACAUAUUGGGUCUUUUUCUUGGUCCAUUUUGAACAGACAUGUAGGAUGCUUAGAAUAUUUCUUUAUACAUUUUCUACACAAUGGAAGAAAAAUGAUUCAGUAUGAGUUCACUAAAACAUACUCCUACUGUGUUGAACAAAUCCUCCUAAUCCUUGCUCUUGUUUUACCUCUUGAGAUUUAAAAGGCUGUCAGACCUUACAUUGCACUGACAUGUACAGCCACUGUACAGUCCCAGGACUUUACAUUCACCUAGUUUCCACUAAUCAGAUACAUCCCAUCAGCACAGUUUACAUAUUUUUAAAAACCAUUAUAUUCAGUAAGUAGCUUAUCGCCUUAUUUUUAAUACAAGCACUGGUUUCAAAGAAAGUGGUAUUUUAAAGUGAUGCUAUGAUGAUUGAUGCUAGUAUAUGUGCAGUUCCUGAACCUUCAGUUAUUUAAACCUUUAAAUGACUUUCCAUAGAAAAGAAUCACUGCGCACUGCACUACUCUCGGGAUUAAAGUGAGUAAUACAUGAGGAAAAAAAAGCUAUUUCUCUUUGAAAUGACAUGAUUAUCAAUAUUUAGUACUCUCUUUGUUUCACAAGUGUCAGAAACACUACAGAAACUGCUUAAAAUAUGAACUUUUACUUGCUUUUAUGUUGUCUUAUUAGUCUCUGCAAAGACAGGUGUACUGAUCAAAGACUAGUAAGGAAAAUGGAUGUUUUCCAUUCAGCAGAGAUGAGAGAACUCGGUUUCCAAUUAAUCUUACAAUUACCUGAGUCAUGUUUUCAGUAAUAUAAUAUUAUCUACCUUUACACCUGUUCUGAGUGGGCCAAGGGAACUUCUGGAAUUCCAUUACUGAUUGCAAGCAGCCUUCACUGUUAAAUCAACUGAUAUUCAUGUUAGCUGUCUUGUUCCUCACCAGUAAAAAUGCUGACAUUUGUAAUAAACAUGGGAAAGACUUAGGAUAUCAACUCAUACCAGUGUAAACUGGGUCAAACAUGAUGGACUCCAUACUCUCCUGUUGUUAACUUCAACCUCACAUUAAAAGCCCAGAAAACUUAAUUGUUAACAACAUUUUGAGAGUGGCAAAAACCAAAAAUGUAAUUAAAAAGGUCAUGCUCUCCUUUGUGUGCCUUUAUUUAUUUAUUCAUUUAUUUCUAAUAUAUUAAUGGUAUCAUGGAACUGGUGAAAUGUAUUUUUCCAGUUUCCCAUAGCUUAACAUCUGCUCCUAUGAUUAACUUGGCAACACAGAGGAAAGGUAUCUAAAUUCAAAUGAAUUUACAUGAGAUUUUAUGUAAUAACUACAGCUGAGAGCUUUAAGGGAAAACUGCUUUAGAAAACAACUAGCCAUCUUGUGUCUGUACUGUAGCAGACAUAGGUGUAAGUUGGAUGGUAGUAGAAAGCAUUUAAAACUUCUUACUGUUGCAGACCCUGCUGCCUGCCAAUAGUCCCAAUUUUCAAUCUGCAAAACAGAUAUUUCAAGAAGACAGAGUGAAUGUUAGAAUAUAUAUGCCUCCAUCAUGGCAUCUGUGGGGAGAGUUCAACACAUUGUGCUUUCAGUCCUGAAGAAGAAGAGGUGCCUGCAGGGGCAGAGAAGAGAUUGAAUAUCAAUUGAGAAAAGUUACUUUAUUAGCAGUUCUUCAGUAUAACAGAAAAGUAAAAUUAAUGAGUUAAGAGGAAAAGGCACUGUCAGUCCCUUAAGGGGUACAGAUGCUUGUGUGAAUGAGUCAUAUCACUUAGGGGAGUAGCAGCCUGAAUGUACAUACAUUCCCUUUAUCUCUGCACAAAGAAGGGUUGAAAUACAAAAGGGGCAUUAUUCUGCAGAGGUAAAAAGAAUAUCAGAACCCAGAGGACUGUAUAUAUUUUUUCAGAAAGGACAGUUCAGAAGAAAAAUUGCAACCAUCUAGUUGUUCUUUUUCUUUUAUUAUGCUACUUUAUGGAAAUGUAAGUGAGCAGCAUAGCCUGCAAAUUUAGCAUCAUAAAUAGUGUGAAGAUUCAGAGUUGAAGAUAACCUUGUUAUCUUGCUCUGUCUUCCUGUGCUCAUUUCAAAUCUCAUUAAAAUGUGUCAUGAAUAAAGAAGAAAAAAGUCCUGUUUAUACCUGAUUCUCUCUCUUCUUUUUUUUUUUUUUUUUUUUCUGGGGAGAUACAGCCAGAAUGCUUAAAAAAUUGUUUGCAUCAUUUUAUGCUUCUCUUUCAUUUGCCUGCUCUCUUCUUAUCACAGUUCUGUAUCUUGAUCCCACUGGAAUUCUGAUGAGAGGGAGACCAGGCAAACUGCAUGGCUGAGGAGCCACAGCUUCCAGGCCUCUCGGUGUGCACGUCCUUGGGGACCUGGACAUGCAGCAGAGUGACACAAGCUGUCUCUGCAUUUCACCUGGGUUUGCCUCCGUUGUUGACUCACACACAGGCUGUUCUGUAAAAAGCAGUUGUUUGGCCCCUGCCUGAGCAUGUUGCAUAAUGAGAAUUCACAUUCAGUGCAGGAACUACUGGGAACCAGGCAGAGAUGGGACUGCUGUGGCUCUGGCUGCUGCUGAAUCGUGUUUUUUGGAGAUGACAGUGAAAAAAAUAUCAGAUGGAUAGAGCAGAAGAUAGAGCUGUGAAUACUGCCAUAGCAAGGCUAGUUGAAGUUGGCAACUGAUUUUUUUUUCCUGUUCCUUGAAACAAAGAAGACAGGGAAGAAAAGAACACUGCCUUCAACUUGUAUAUUAAUGGGAAGGAGCUUUAGAUUUCAAAUCUUCUUCAGAAAAUUCUAAGGCAGUGCUACUAUGUUUUGAAUCAGCUGAUUUUGGUUUUACGUUUGAAGUCCUACAACUUCUAAAUUGCUUGCAUGUUUAAUCUUUGCAGUACUGUGCCCAUUACAAGAAUAUAAAGAGAAACAGAUAUUUUCUUAUAGAGUUGCAUCCUCAUCCUUAAUUCUUAGAAUUAUCUGAAAACUGUGGUCCUUCCUAAAAUGCACUUUCAGAGGUAAAAGGCCCACAUACUUCUCUUUCAAUAGCAGUAUACUACAAACCAAGCACUGAUGUUUUUUUUUCCCCUGAGUCUUAAUACCAUGUAUUGCUUCAUGCCCUUUGAUUUAACUGGCCGGACACUGAAGCCUGUGAAUUGCUUGCCUGACUGACUAGAUAAUUCUCUUCUAUUUGCUGCCUUUUUCUUUAGAUACAAUCUAUUCUCAAAGACUGAUAGCUAGUCUACUUUUAGUAGAUGAAGCCUAAGACAUGUGGGCAAGGCCAGCUAAUUCUACAAUCUCACUCCAUUUUGGUGAAAUUUGAUUCAGAUCUUCAAGAAUUUGACUGAUUUUGGAGGAGACUGUGUUCUGCUAAUGCCUGCAGGCAGUAGAACGUGCUGACUCAAAAUAGAGGAGAUGCUCAGGUGAGAAAUUUUAGUUCAGUAAGGAACACGUGGUGUUCAUGCCAAAGACAACUCCUGACUACCCCAACCAGGUGCUGGACAGAUGGACCAUGGAAAGGCAAAAUGAGGUACCUCAGCCUUCUGACCACCCUUACUAUGUGAAGGCCUUCCUUCUGCCUUUUUCCAUCAUUUCUCAUUAGGAUCUGCCUGAGA